rnacentral:rRNA from 1 species
AAUGAACGUUGGCGGCGUGGAUUAGGCAUGCAAGUCGAGCGAGAACCCAGCAAUGGGGGACAGCGGCGCAAGGGACAGUAAUGUGUAGAUCAUCUGCCCUCAGGCCCGGGAUAGCUGCGGGAAACUGCAGGUAAUACCGGAUAACAUCUCCGGAUCAAAGGUGUGAUUCCGCCUGAGGAUGAGUCUACAUCCUAUUAGCUAGUUGGCAGGGUAACGGCCUACCAAGGCGAUGAUGGGUAGCGGGUGUGAGAGCACGACCCGCGUCAUUGGGACUGAGACACUGCCCAGACACCUACGGGUGGCUGCAGUCGAGAAUCUUCGGCAAUGGGCGCAAGCCUGACCGAGCGACGCCGCGUGCGGGAUGAAGGCCUUCGGGUUGUAAACCGCUGUCAGAGGGGAUGAAAUACAGGUGGGUUCUCCCAUCUGUUUGACAUAGCCUCAGAGGAAGGACGGGCUAAGUUCGUGCCAGCCGCCGCAGUAACAC